rnacentral:rRNA from 1 species
CAAAAGACUGUAAAUCUUUCAAUGGCCAAAAGCCCAUUGCACAGAACUCGAAAUACCGUUCGCACCAAACCUUAAAGUAAACCCACACACACAUAAGUAUAAACCCACGCAACUCAAAGAUUUUACCAACCGCAAGGGCCAAUUCACCCUACCUAUAAGAUAGGCUAAACUCCCCUACCUUUAGCAUCAUGUGGUUGCAACAAACACCAGCUCUACGCUGUCUCCCGAAAAGCGAGGAGCUACUAUUAGCAAAGCAGCCAGUGUGUCAUUACUGGAAAUACAGCUAAUAAUAGAAGCAAAAUACCUUACGAAUCGCUUGAUAGCUGGUUGUUUCCUUAAAGGUAUCUAAGUACCACCCACCAGAAAAGAUAAAAGAACUCUUCUGGUGGAGAAAGCCUAGUGAGGACAAGCUCGCUAGCCACCUAGAAGUACACCUAACGAAACCUUCAUAAAUAAGCCCAAAAACAGCCACAAAAUCCGUUAUAGGAAAUGAACUUUCGCCUAUCAAAAUCUAUCUAAUUAACUUCACUUACAAGGAACCCUGCAGCACAACAAACACCACAACGAACUGGCAAACUAUUAGUAUCUUCUGUAAGCUUCAAGAGCACCACCACAAGUUACACUCACCAGACUUUCUCUAAGAAACAUACACCCGCGAAUAAUGAACUCGGCAAAAUCCUACCCUGCCUGUUUACCAAAAACAUCGUCCCCUGACUUCCACCGAUAAGGGAUACUGCCUGCCCCAUGAUUCAACUAUUAAAUGGCCGCGUUAGCGUGAGCGUGCUAAGGUAGCGUAAUAAACAGCUCCCUAAUUAGGAGCCAGUGAAAGGCAAGACGGGGAAGAGCUGUGUCACUCACGGAGAGAAAACUUUUCUUCUAAGUGAAAAGACUUAGAUAUAGGAAAAAGACAAAAAGACCCCGCGGAACUUCCCUCGCAACUUUAAGUAACGAACCAAUGAAAACGAGGUUGGUUGGGGCAACCUUGGAGUAAACAAAGCCUCCACAACACUCGCUGAAACCAAUAAAAAACUUGCUAAGGUACAUAACGCAGUUACCCCGGGGAUAACAGCGUAAUCCAGCUCAAGAGUACACAUCGAAAGCUGGGUUUGCGACCUCGAUGUUGGCUUAGGGAAAGCAACUUGGCGCAGCCACUAAGAGCAUAAUGCCAGUCUGUUCGACUGCAAACCCCCUACACGAGCUGAGUUAAGACCGGCGAGAGCUAGGUUGGAUUCUAUCUUUUCUUACUAUAACCACACUCUUUAUUGUACGAAAGGACCCAAAGAGGCACACCAGAACAGUGCCAAUUGAGCUAUACCGCAGAUUAUGCAAACAC